UUUGAUGAUGAUGAUGAUGAUGAUCUUUUGUUCUUCCUGCAGCCUCCACCUACUGGAACAUUUCUCAAUGUGCCCCCUUUGGUCCAAUACCUCCUGCAUGCUUUGCAGAAGUACCUUGGCUGAGAAAGGCUGUAGUUGUUGUAGUAGCAAAAUUUGGUGUUGGUGGAAUCACAUCUUGGACACUUGAGAGCCUGUUCUGGUGGAGGUCUUGGUUUCCUCUCUUGAUGGGGUUUUGAGCAAACCAUCAUGUUUUCAAGUGAAUGUGAAGGCAUUUCCUGAAUUGACCAGAAACAAAUAAAAAGAUAUUAGAUCACAUUGCAUGAAAUCACUAAAAAUUUUCUAUCUCAGAAAAUUCAUCUUAAUUAUUUUCCACCUUGUUAUAUAAAUCACUGCAUAUAUCAAACAAAUUAAUAAGACUCCCUUCAUAGCCAGUUCAUCAAAGAAAUUCAGUUGAUAGAAAUAGAACUAAUUGCAAGAAAUCAAUUACACUCGACACUAAUCAUCAAGCCCAAUUGCUAAAGGAAAACAACCUUACUUUGUUUCACCUAUUUUAUUGCAGUGCUAAAGGGUUAGAGGCUAAAAUUGAGAGACUAGAUAAAAAUCUUACCUACUAGCAGACACAUAGUUUCAAGAAAAUUAAAAUCAGAAAUCAGAAUUGUUUUGUUUAGAUAUCAAGUGUGAAAUGAUGCUUUACUUGUUUCAAACUCAGAAACCAAAGUCUAGCAUCAACCCACUGAAAGAAAAAUUGAAACAAAUUAAGGCAAAAGUAGAUCACUUUACUCUUUUCUUUUCAAGGAAGAAAGAAAAAAGAAAAUAAAAUUUCUAGCAAUCUACUGAUCAAUCACCUCCAUCCCAAAGUGACAAGCUUAAUGGGCAAGGCGCAAAACUCCAAACAAAUCCGUUAAGGGAUUGAAAAUAUGAAAGAAAAGGGAAAAGAAACACAAAUGUGAUUAAAGUGAUGAGAAAGAGAG
rnacentral:misc_RNA from 1 species